rnacentral:rRNA from 1 species
GAUGAACGCUAGCUACAGGCUUAACACAUGCAAGUCGAGGGGUAACAAGAGAAAAGCUUGCUUUUCUUGUUGACGACCGGCGCACGGGUGAGUAACGCGUAUCCAACCUGCCCAUAACUAGGGAAUAACCUUGCGACAGUAAGACUAAUACCCUAUAAUUUCCUUUGACGGCAUCUGACGAGGAAUAAAGAUUUAUCGGUUAUGGAUGGGGAUGCGUCUGAUUAGCUUGUUGGCGGGGUAACGGCCCACCAAGGCAACGAUCAGUAGGGGUUCUGAGAGGAAGGUCCCCCACAUUGGAACUGAGACACGGUCCAAACUCCUGCGGGAGGCAGCAGUGAGGAAUAUUGGUCAAUGGGCGGAAGCCUGAACCAGCCAAGUAGCGUGCAGGAUGACGGCCCUAUGGGUUGUAAACUGCUUUUAUACAGGAAUAAAGUUAGCCACGUGUGGUUAUUUGUAGGUACUGUAUGAAUAAGGACCGGCUAAUUCCGUGCCAGCAGCCGCCGUAA